GUGGGGAAUCUUGCGCAAUGGGCGAAAGCCUGACGCAGCCAUGCCGCGUGAAUGAUGAAGGUCUUAGGAUUGUAAAAUUCUUUCACCGGGGACGAUAAUGACGGUACCCGGAGAAGAAGCUCCGGCUAACUUCGUGCCAGCAGCCGCGGUAAUACGAAGGGGGCUAGCGUUGCUCGGAAUUACUGGGCGUAAAGGGCGCGUAGGCGGACAGCUUAGUCAGAGGUGAAAGCCCAGGGCUCAACCUUGGAGUUGCCUUUGAUACUGGCUGUCUUGAGUUUGGGAGAGGUGAGUGGAACUCCGAGUGUAGAGGUGAAAUUCGUAGAUAUUCGGAAGAACACCAGUGGCGAAGGCGACUCACUGGCCCAAUACUGACGCUGAGGCGCGAAAGCGUGGGGAGCAAACAGGAUUAGAUACCCUUGUAGUCC
rnacentral:rRNA from 1 species